rnacentral:rRNA from 1 species
CACGUAGGGGGCAAGCGUUGUCCGGAUUUAUUGGGCGUAAAGAGCUCGUAGGCGGCUUAGUAAGUCGGGUGUGAAACCUCCAGGCUCAACCUGGAGACGCCACCCGAUACUGCUGUGGCUAGAGUCCGGUAGGGGAGCGUGGAAUUCCUGGUGUAGCGGUGAAAUGCGCAGAUAUCAGGAGGAACACCAGCGGCGAAGGCGGCGCUCUGGGCCGGUACUGACGCUGAGGCACGAAAGCGUGGGGAGCAAACAGG